rnacentral:lncRNA from 10 species
CGGGACUGGAGCUAAGCCGGUGUGAAUCGAGGCUGCAUGUGCCUGGGUGUAGUGGACCGUGCACACUUGGGGAAAUGCACGUGGUGCAAUGAGCCUCUCCAUUUUCAGAAUUGUGAGGGUGAGCGAGAGGGGCUGCCCGGCGUGUGCAGACUCUGCGCCGGCUCGUCUGUUUGGGGAUGGGAAGACAUACAAGAAAGCAACCAGUUACUGGAUUAUAUGAGGAAGGCUGUGACAGAGGCCAUACCGGAUGCUGCAGGAACACAGAAAAAGAAGGAUCUACGCCCUUUGAUGAAUUCCCAGGAAGCCUUCCCAGAUGUGUCAGUGGGCUCUUGAAGGGUGCUCAUCUACUGGAAAGGCUUCAACUUUCACCUUUGCUGAUGACGUUCCAGUCCCAGUCUGCCCAAUCUGAAUUCUUCCUCAGCCUCUGCUUAGCUUCCUAUCCUCCGUUCCUUCUCCUAUGAUCUAGGCAGACAUUGAGGAUUAUGCCUGGCACAUUUUCUCAGAGGGCCAAGGCACAGCCUUAAUUUUCUACUCAACUGGGAGCUCUAGGCACCCAUUACCAUUCAGAGUUGGCAUUCGAGACAAAAACUAUUUUUUUCCUGAAUCUAGUCCUUUUAAUUUUAAGCACCUUAAGGAAUAUACCUUUUAAAGUGUCUUGAAGGAUUUCAUUCCCCCAUUCAUUCAGCAAACUGUAAAGAGCUUCCCAUGUGCUGCCUGUUGAAUGCAACAUCCUCCCUCUCAAACCCUCUCCUGCUCAACAGGUCCCCUGCUAUCAAUGAUACCAGCAAUAGCACUGAAAGAAUAAAUAUACACCAGAUAACACAGGUGAGUGGGCACAGCUCUCCAUGCCACCCUAGUUCCUCACAAAGGCAUGCCCAAUAUUUGGAGGUACUGACAGCCUUAGAGGAAGGAGAAAUCCACCAGGUCAGAAAAAUUCUGAGCUGUAGGCUUGCUGCCUUUCUUACCUACAUUUGAGGAAAGGCCAGGUUAGCAUCCAAGAGUCCACCCUAUCACCAUAUAAAGAAUUCCAUGCCAGACACAUAUACUUCUAUUUCCUAAUGCUGGUCCUGGGUCUACAGUGGUCUUAUUAUAAUCAGUAGACCAUUCUAGUUCAAGCCCUUAUCCCCUCCUAUAUGGAUAACUGUAACAGACUCUCCUCUCCAGUUCAUCCUAUAAAUGCCAUAGCCAAACUCUACCCCAAUUUUAACUCCUAGUAAUUACUGAUUUGUUCUAUAGGUUGGUGCAACAGUAAUUGCGGUUUUCACCAUUAAAAGUAAUGGCGAAAGUAAUGCUUAGCCUCCUAUUUGGCGAAACUGUAAUGGUGAAAACUGUAAUUACUGUUGCAUCAACCUAAUACAACACUGCAAUUUUGUUUUUUAAGAAUUUCAAAUAGGCCAGGCACGGUGGCUCACACCUGUAAUCCCAGCACUUUGGAAGGCCGAGGCGGGUGGAUCACCAGGUCAGGAGUUCAAGACCAGCCUGACCAACAUGGUGAAACCCCAUCUCUACUAAAAAUACAAAAAUAAGUUGGGUGUAGUGGCGUGCGCCUGUAGUCCCAGCUACUCAGGAGGCUGAGGCAGGAGAAUAGCUUGAACCUGGGAGGCGGAGGUUGCAGUGAACUAAGAUCGCACUGCACUCCAGCCUGAGCGACAGAGCAAGACUCCAUCUCAAAAAAAAAAAAAAA